rnacentral:rRNA from 1 species
UAAGAGCCUACCAAGGCAUCGAUCGGUAGCUGGUCUGAGAGGACGAUCAGCCACACUGGGAUUGAGAACGGCCCAGACUCCUACGGGGGGCAGCAGUGAGGAAUUUUCGUCAAUGGGGGCAACCCUGAACGAGCAACGCCGCGUGCAGGAAGAAGGUUUUCGGAUCGUAAACCGCUUUUCUCUGGGACGAGCAAGGACGGUACCAGAGGAAUCAGCCCCGGCUAACUACGUGCCAGCAGCCGCGGUAAUACGUAGGGGGCGAGCGUUGUCCGGAUUUAUUGAAAAUAAAGGGUCCGCAGGCGGUUUGGUAAGUUUGACGUGACAGAAAUCCGGUUCAACUGGGAAAGUGCGUUGGAAACUGCCAGACUUGAGGGCUUCAGAGGGACACGGAAUUCCGGGUGGAGUGGUGAAAUG